GAAUUAAUCAUGAACUUGCCUAAUAUUCCAACAAUCCAAAAACCUAAUUGUAGGCAAUUUCCUGAGUUAACUAUGGCUGGAUUUGCUGAUGCACUGAGGCCGGAUAAGUUUACCGGUGUGCACUUUAAGAGGUGGCAGGUGAAGACCACGCUCUGGCUUACUGCUCUGAAAGUUUUCCACGCUAGUGUUGGUGCUCCAGAGGGAAUAACCGACGAAGAUCGGAGAAAAUUCCAGGAAGCCAAUACUAUGUUUGUGGGAUGCAUUCUGAGUGUUCUUGCUGACCGUCUGUGUGAUGUGUACAUGCACAUAAACGACGGAAAAAUUCUGUGGGAUGCACUGAAUGCAAAAUUCGAUGCAACAGAUGCAGGCAGUGAACUGUACAUCAUGGAGAGUUUUCAUGACUACAAGAUGGUGAAUAACCGUUCUGUGGUUGAACAAGCUCAUGAGAUACAGUGCAUUGUGAAGGAACUUGAACUCCUUAAAUGUGUUCUACCCGACAAAUUCGUGGCUGGGUGCAUGAUUGCAAAGUUGCCUCCUUCAUGGAGGAAUUUCGCCACAACUCUGAAGCAUAAGAGACAGGAGAUAUCAGUUGAAAAUCUGAUUGCAUCUCUUGAUGUUGAAGAAAAAGCUCGGGCUAAAGAUACCACUGAAAAAGGAGGUGAGGUUCAGCCUACUGCUAACAUGGUGCAGAGGUACCCACAGAACAAGAACAAAGGGAAGAACAAACCUAUUUUCAACAAGCCUACCAAGACUACUACUUUCAAGAAGAAGAAGUUCAACAAGGCUGAGCUAGAGUGCUACGCCUGUGGGAAGCCUGGACACUUUUCCAAGGAAUGCCCUGAACGUGCAGACCGCAGAGGGAAAACAAGCUCCAAGACUGUCAACAUGGUGACCGCUAGCAAUACUGAUGGCGCAAGGGAUUCUUCCGUCCUAAUGGGGAAUGGGUCACAUGCUUCUGUUCGUGGCAUUGGCACAGUGGAUCUGAAGUUUACUUCGGGAAAGAUCGUGCAACUAAGGAACGUGCAGCAUGUCCCUACUAUGAACAAGAAUCUAGUUAGCGACUCCCUUCUAUGUCGAGAUGGAUUUAAGGUAGUUUUAGAGUCCAAUAAAGUAAUCGUGUCAAGAUUUGGACAAUUUAUAGGAAAAGGCUAUGAGUGCGGAGGCUUGUUCCGCUUUUCUCUUUCAGAUUUUUGCAAUAAGUCAAUAAACCAAAUUUGUGCUAGUGUUAAUGAUGAUGCAAGUAUUUGGCACUCUCGUUUA
rnacentral:rRNA from 1 species